rnacentral:lncRNA from 1 species
CUGGAAUCUCACCAUCCAUGGAGCCAAACAAGUAUUAUGUGGGUCAUGUGAAUCCCUUCAGCAAGAUGAAUGUGUGCCCUGAGAUGCCAAUUUGCCACGCCUGCUUUAUGGUGACGUUGCAUGUCUCUUCCAUUGCUUUUUGAAUAUCUGGAAAGUGCCAUUGCACAGGACUGGAAUAUAAGAGUGAAGUCAGAGUCCUUUCUCAAGAGUACUUCCGGU